rnacentral:lncRNA from 1 species
CUCAGCAAUGAAUUUCAAGGCAAUCCUAAUAAGUGCGUGGAUUUGGUUCCCUGCUUUAGCAACUGCAUAUGAUGCCGACAGUGGAACGUUUCUGGUCUGCAACUCAUCAGAGUGUAUUCAAAGAGCCAAACUAAUAAAUGAAUCACUUAACCGCACUACUGAUCCUUGCACGGAUUUCUAUUCAUACGUAUGCGACCCGUGGGAAAGGAA